rnacentral:rRNA from 1 species
AACGAACGCUGGCGGCAUGCCUAACACAUGCAAGUCGAACGAGACCUUCGGGUCUAGUGGCGCACGGGUGCGUAACGCGUGGGAACCUGCCCUUAGGUUCGGCAUAACUCCCCGACAGGGGUGCUAAUACUGGAUAAUGUCUUCGGACCAAAGAUUUAUCGCCUUUGGAUGGGCCCGCGUUGGAUUAGCUAGUUGGUAGGGUAAAAGCCUACCAAGGCGACGAUCCACAGCUGGUCUGAGAGGAUGAUCAGCCACACUGGGACUGAGACACGGCCCAGACUCCUACGCGAGGCAGCAGUGGGGAAUAUUGGACCAUGGGCGAAGGGCUGAUCCAGCAAUGCCGCGUGAGUGAUGAAGGCCUUAGGGUUGUAAAGCGCUUUUACCCGGGAUGAUAAUGACAGUACCGGGAGAAUAAGCUCCGGCUAACUCCGUG